AUGGUUGCAAUCUGCCAAGAGCUGAUAAGGAAAGAAUCCUGUGGGGACAAUGACAAAAAACUUAAAUCCAUCAAACCCAUGUCAGCACUAGGCAAGAAAACAAAUAGAAUUCCAGACAGUUCAGAACAAAUACUACAAAUCAGAGACCAUACUCCAACCUCCUUUCAAUCUUACACUUUUGAAAGACAACUUAGAAGUACAAAGGACGGUGACUCCAUAGCAGUGCUUACCAUCAGGCUAACAUUACCCAUUACUGAGAUCCCACCUAGAAUAUCAUAUUAUAUUUAG
ensembl:lncRNA